GGAUGCCCCAGCUCAAGCUGCUGCUCCAACAGGACAGUCCUACACUACAGGUUUUGAUCCAGGCCAAAAGGGGUACGAUUGAUUCUGCAGUGCUCAGAUUCUGGAUGCAGUAUGAGGGGACAUCGUUCCUCUGCAGAUGUUACGGCUGCUGAAAUGAGGAAGAAGGAAAGGAAAGGAAAGGAAGAAAAGAAGGAAGAAAGAAAAGUCAGGAACCUGUUGAGGUUGUAACGACAAGGAAAUAUUCAAGAGGAAGCCUUUCAGAACCUUCAUACACUUGGUGAGAAUGUAAAUUCGUACGACCACUAUGGAGAACACUUUGGAGCUUCUUCAAAAAACUAAAAAUAGAGCUACCAUAUGGGGCGAUCCAGCAAUGCUCCCACUGGGUAGAGACCUGAAAGAAAGGAAAUCAGUAGGACAAAGAGAUAGCUGCACUCCUGUGUUUGCUGCAGCACUGUUCACUAUAGCCAAGAUUUGGAAGCAACCUAAGUGUUUACCAAUAGAUGAAUGCAUAUAGAAAAUGUGGUACAAAUACACAAUGGAGUAUUAUUCAGCCAUAAAAAAGAAUGAGAUCCUGUCAUUUGCAACAACAUAGAUGGAGCUAGGGAUCAUUAAGCUAAGUGAAAUAAGCAAGGCAAAGAAAGACAAGCAUCACAUGUUCUCACUUAUUUGUGGGAUACAAAAAUCAAAACAAUUGAAUUCAUGAACAUAAAGAGUAGAAGGAAGGUUACCAGAGGCUGGGAAGAGUAGUAGCAGGUGAGGGUGAGGUGGGGAUGGUUAAUGUUAAUGGGUACAGAAAAAAAAUAGAAUGAAUAAGACUUACUAUGUGAUAGCACGACAGGUUGACUAUAGUAAUAACUUAAUUGCACAUUUUAAAAUAACCAAAAGAAUAUAAUUGGAUUUUUUGCAACACAAAGGAUAAAUGCUUGAGGGGGUGUAAUUCUCAUUCUCCAUAUGUAAUUAUUACACAUUGCAUGCCGGCAUCAAAGCAUUUCACUUACCCAGUAAAUAUAUACACCUACUAUGUAUCCACAAAAUUAAAAAUAAAAAUUUGUUUAAAGAA